rnacentral:rRNA from 1 species
UGAGGAAUAUUGGGCAAUGCCCGCAAGGGUGACCCAGCAACGCCGCGUGGAGGAUGAAUGUCGUAAGAUUGUAAACUCCUGUUAGAGGGGAAGAAUAGUACCGGUUGGACCGGUAUAUGACUGUACCCUCAGAGAAAGCCCCGGCUAACUACGUGCCAGCAGCCGCGGUAAUACGUAGGGGGCAAGCGUUGUCCGGAUUUACUGGGUGUAAAGGGCGCGCAGGCGGGAUAAAAAGUCAGUGGUGAAAUCCUACAGCUUAACUGUAGAACUGCCUCUGAUACUUUUAUUCUUGAGUUCGGGAGAGAGAGACGGAAUUCCAGGUGUGGUGGUCAAAUACGUAGAUAUCUGGAAGAACACCAGUUGCGAAGGCGGUCUCUUGGUCCGACACUGACGCUGAGGCGCGAAAGCGUGGGGAGCAAACA